CGUGGGGAGCAAACAGGAUUAGAUACCCUGGUAGUCCACGCCGUAAACGAUGUCGAUUUGGAGGUUGUGCCCUUGAGGCGUGGCUUCCGGAGCUAACGCGUUAAAUCGACCGCCUGGGGAGUACGGCCGCAAGGUUAAAACUCAAAUGAAUUGACGGGGGCCCGCACAAGCGGUGGAGCAUGUGGUUUAAUUCGAUGCAACGCGAAGAACCUUACCUGGUCUUGACAUCCACAGAACUUAGCAGAGAUGCUUUGGUGCCUUCGGGAACUGUGAGACAGGUGCUGCAUGGCUGUCGUCAGCUCGUGUUGUGAAAUGUUGGGUUAAGUCCCGCAACGAGCGCAACCC
rnacentral:rRNA from 1 species